UGGGGAAUAUUGGGCAAUGGGCGAAAGCCUGACCCAGCAACGCCGCGUGAAGGAAGAAGGUUUUCGGAUUGUAAACUUCUGUCCUCAGGGAAGAAGGAAGUGACGGUACCUGAGGAGGAAGCCCCGGCUAACUACGUGCCAGCAGCCGCGGUAAUACGUAGGGGGCGAGCGUUGUCCGGAAUGACUGGGCGUAAAGGGCGCGUAGACGGCUGUCUAAGUCUGGAGUGAAAGUCCUGCUUUCAAGGUGGGAAUUGCUUUGGAGACUGGAUGGCUUGAGUGCGGAAGAGGUAAGUGGAAUUCCCAGUGUAGCGGUGAAAUGCGUAGAGAUUGGGAGGAACACCAGUGGCGAAGGCGACUUACUGGGCCGUAACUGACGUUGAUGCGCGAAAGCGUGGGGAGCGAACAGGAUUAGAUACCCUGGUAGUCCACGCGGUAAACGAUGAGUGCUAGGUGUAGCGGGUAUCGACCCCUGCUGUGCCGGAGUUAACACAAUAAGCACUCCGCCUGGGGAGUACGGCCGCAGGGUUG
rnacentral:rRNA from 1 species